rnacentral:piRNA from 1 species
UGACAAGAGGUUAAAGAGCAAUGAUCU